UACGAAGGUCCCGAGCGUUGUUCGGAAUCACUGGGCGUAAAGGGAGCGUAGGCGGCGCGGUAAGUCAGAUGUGAAAUCCCGGGGCUCAACCCCGGAACUGCAUCCGAUACUGCCGUGCUAGAGGAUUGGAGAGGUAGCUGGAAUUCUUGGUGUAGCAGUGAAAUGCGUGGAUAUCAAGAGGAACACUCGUGGCGAAAGCGAGCUACUGGACAACUCCUGACCGCUGAGGCUCGAAGGCCAGGGUAGCGAAAGGG
rnacentral:rRNA from 1 species